AGUUUGAUCCUGGCUCAGAACAACGCUGGCGGCAUGCCUAACACAUGCAAGUCGAACGAAGCCUUCGGGCUUAGUGGCGCACGGGUGCGUAACGCGUGGGAAUCUGCCUUGGGUUCGGAAUAACAGUUAGAAAUGACUGCUAAUACCGAAUGAUGUCUUCGGACCAAAGAUUUAUCGCCCAAGGAUGAGCCCGCGUCGGAUUAGCUAGUUGGUGAGGUAAAGGCUCACCAAGGCGACGAUCCGUAGCUGGUCUGAGAGGAUGAUCAGCCACACUGGGACUGAGACACGGCCCAGACUCCUACGGGAGGCAGCAGUGGGGAAUAUUGGACAAUGGGCGAAAGCCUGAUCCAGCAAUGCCGCGUGAGUGAUGAAGGCCUUAGGGUUGUAAAGCUCUUUUACCCGGGAUGAUAAUGACAGUACCGGGAGAAUAAGCCCCGGCUAACUCCGUG
rnacentral:rRNA from 1 species